rnacentral:rRNA from 1 species
GACGAACGCUGGCGGCGUGCUUAACACAUGCAAGUCGAACGGAAAGGCCCUGCUUUUGUGGGGUGCUCGAGUGGCGAACGGGUGAGUAACACGUGAGUAACCUGCCCUUGACUUUGGGAUAACUUCAGGAAACUGGGGCUAAUACCGGAUAGGAGCUCCUGCUGCAUGGUGGGGGUUGGAAAGUUUCGGCGGUUGGGGAUGGACUCGCGGCUUAUCAGCUUGUUGGUGGGGUAGUGGCUUACCAAGGCUUUGACGGGUAGCCGGCCUGAGAGGGUGACCGGCCACAUUGGGACUGCGAUACGGCCCAGACUCCUACGGGAGGCAGCAGCGGGGAAUAUUGCACAAUGGGCGGAAGCCUGAUGCAGCAACGCCGCGUGCGGGAUGACGGCCUUCGGGUUGUAAACCGCUUUCGCCUGUGACGAAGCGUGAGUGACGGUAAUGGGUAAAGAAGCACCGGCUAACUACGUG